UUGGAGUAGCUCCCUAAUAACUACAUGGUC
rnacentral:piRNA from 1 species